UUCGCAAUGCCCGAAAGGGUGACGAAGCGACGCCGCGUGUGGGAAGAAGGCCUUUGGGUUGUAAACCACUGUCGGGAGUUAAGAAAUGCAAGGGUGCUAAUAGUAUCCUUGCUUGACUAAGGCUCCGGAGGAAGCCACGGCUAACUCUGUGCCAGCAGCCGCGGUAAUACAGAGGCGGCAAGCGUUGUUCGGAAUUAUUGGGCGUAAAGAGCACGUAGGCGGCUAUGUAAGUCGGUUGUGAAAGCCUUCCGCUCAACGGAAGAACAGCAUCCGAUACUGCAUGGCUUGAGUGCGGGAGGGGAGAGUGGAACUUCUGGUGGAGCGGUGAAAUGCGUAGAUAUCAGAAGGAACGCCGGCGGCGAAAGCGGCUCUCUGGCCCAUAACUGACGCUGAGUGUGCGAAAGCUAGGGGAGCAAACGGGAUUAGAUACCCCGGUAGUCCUAGCCGUAAACGAUGGGCACUAAGUAGAGGGGUUUU
rnacentral:rRNA from 1 species